GACGAACGCUGGCGGCGUGCUUAACACAUGCAAGUCGAACGGAAAGGCCCUGCUUUUGUGGGGUGCUCGAGUGGCGAACGGGUGAGUAACACGUGAGUAACCUGCCCUUGACUUUGGGAUAACUUCAGGAAACUGGGGCUAAUACCGGAUAGGAGCUCCUGCUGCAUGGUGUGGGUUGGAAAGUUUCGGCGGUUGGGGAUGGACUCGCGGCUUAUCAGCUUGUUGGUGGGGUAGUGGCUUACCAAGGCUUUGACGGGUAGCCGGCCUGAGAGGGUGCCCGGCCACACGGGGACUGAGACACGGCCCAGGCUCCUACGGGAGGCAGCAGUGGGGAAUAGUGGACAAGGGGCGGAGGCCUGAUCCAGCAAGGCCGGGUGAGUGAUGAAGGCCUUAGGGUUGUAAAGCUCUUUUACCCGGGAGGAUAAUGACAGUACCGGGAGAAUAAGCUCCGGCUAACUCCGUG
rnacentral:rRNA from 1 species